AUGAAUAAUGCUCUACUUGCCCCUUAUACCGCGGAAGAUGUUCGCAAGGCUUUAUUCGAUAUUGGGGACUUAAAAGCUCCAGGAUCAGAUGGGCUUCAUGCUAUUUUCUACAAAAGGUUCUGGCCAAUGCUGGGGGAGGACCUAAUUGAGGAGGUUAUGAAAGCAAUCAACACAUGUACUAUCCCGAACGGUUGGAACGAUACGACAAUCGUGAUGAUUCCUAAGAUUAAUACACCAGAAAAGGUAACAUUUAGACCGAUUAGUUUAUGUAAUGUGGUAUACAAAAUAAUUGCGAAAAUGGUGGCUACUCCAUUGAAGGUCUUUUUACCAGAAAUUAUUAGUCCCACACAGAGUGCAUUUGUACCGGGUAGAUUGAUAACGGAUAAUAAUUUAGUGGCCUAUGAAUGUUUUCACACAAUCAAGAACAAAAGAGAAGGGAGAGAGGGCUUGUGUGCUAUAAAACUUGAUAUGCAAAAAGCAUACGAUAGAGUUGAGUGGCGUUUUUGGGAGAUUAUGUUGAGAUUGGGUUUUCAUCGAGAAUGGGUGAAUUCGAUUAUGCAAUGUGUCUCAACUGUCGAUUAUAGAGUAAGGAUCAGUGCAGAGGAAAGUGAGAGUUUCAAGCCUACUAGAGGGUUGAGGCAGGGUGAUCCGCUACCACCAUACCUCUUUCUGCUAUGCACAGAGGGGUUGAAUGCCUUGCUAGCGCAUGCUGAGGACAACGGGAACAUAUCAGGAGUUAAAGUCUGUAGAGACACCCCGCCAGUCACAAAUCUUCUCUUUGCGGAUGAUUCAUUGAUAUUGAUGAAAGCCAACCAACAUAAUGUGGCGGCCCUGAAAUCAGCAUUAGAUUUAUAUUGUGCGGCGUCAGGACAACUGGUAAGCAUGGAAAAGUCAAGCAUUUUCUUUAGUCCUAAUACAACGGUAGAGAUAAGAGAACAAAUGUGUACAACGUUGAAUAUAAUGACAGAGGCAAUGAGUGACAAAUACUUGGGCUUGCCAGCAAAUGUGGGUGUUGAUAAAACAGACUGUUUUAAUUUUUUGAUUGAACGAAUUGUUAAGAAAAAUAGUGGUUGGAAGGAAAAAUUACUGUCUGCCGGGGGAAAGGAGAUCCUUCUCAAGGCUGUGAUCCAAGCCAUACCUACCUAUGCAAUGUCGGUCUUUAAAAUUCCUAAAGAAAAUUGUAAAUGAAUCAUUGACGCGAUUGCACAUUUUUGGUGGGGAGACGAGGAGAACCAGAGAAGGAUGCACUGGAUGGCCUGGUGGAAAAUGUGCGUACCAAAAAAAUCAAGGAGGAAUGGGUUUCCGUGA
rnacentral:rRNA from 1 species